CAUCUGAGAUAAACAUUGUUAUCUCUGUUUGUUUCAGAUGGAAAAUGAAGGUUCGAAGAGGCCAUAUAAGAUGACAAAAGUGACAGAGGUUGUAACUGGCAGAGUGGGGAUUCAAGCUCAGGUGUUGCCCUCCUAUUCUCAAGCCUGCUUUUCUUUGCAGCCCCUAACCCAUCAGUGAGGAAAUCCAGACAGCAGCCUCCCCAGCCCCGCGCAGAAGGCCUUUCUCCAGACCUUUCCCCCAUCAGCCUGCGCACACUCACUGACACCUUACAUUUGCCUGAGUUUCUAAUCGCAGUCAUCAUCCCUGUAGUCACAGAACUGACCCUUCUGACAGAGUCCCCCUGAAAUGUCAGGAACUAUGGUCUGGGGACAAAAGUGAACACAGCACGGUUCCACUCUCCAGGAGCUUCAUCAUUUGAGCGAUGAAGUCUGCAGUGUUUAACCUCAAUGUCUUCACCUUAAAGUGGGGUUCCUGAUCCUUGGCCCUAAGGGCUCUUGCAUGGGUUAAAGUGGUGCCACGUGUCUUGCACUGGGCCUGGCUUGAAAGAAGAAAUCAAAAUAUAUCAGUUCUCUUACUACUACCUCCAGCUUUUGGCAAGAGGCAGAACAGAAACUUCCUUAGAAAUGUUAAAAGGUAAGAUGGAAUCGGAGGUCAGGCAGCAUUUGGAGGUUUUCUUCUAUUAGUUGCUACCAAAGCUUGGUGUACUCAUAAAAUCUGAAUGUAGUAUAGCUUCCAACCAUCGGAGAAAUUUAAAGACAGCUUUGUGGUGGAAUUUUAUGGUUUGCAGGAUGAGGCCUGAGUGGACAUGGCUUCUUCGCCAUGCUUUGAAUAUGAUGCCACUUGGGGUCUAGGUCUCUCCCAGUCUGUCAAAGUGGGUCCAAAUCAGAGCAGGAAAGGGGAAACAUUUUCCUUACUCUAACAUUCAACUCCGUUGUUGGUCAAAGGAAACCCUUUCUAAGGAGCCAGUUUUUUUGGAAUGAACUGGAAGCUGCCCUGUUCAAGGCAGAACAAAGAUCACCAUUGCAAGUGGUGAAGGGCCCCUCUCAGAGAACCGACAACAACCUACCAGGCGGAUACUGCUGUCCAUUCUUCAGAGGCAACGAAACCCAGGCUGUAAGAGUUCAAAUGAGCCGCGCAGGCUGCUAGAACAUGGUAGGGCAGAUACUCAAUCUGGGGGCUGCUUGAUUCUGUAGCUUAAAUGUACUUUCCUUAAACUAGCACUUCUUAAAAUGUACUUAGAAUGGGAAUACUGUGGAUGAUGAUGUUGUGGAAAAGAAACACAAGGAAGGAUGGGCCAUAAUCCAAUGUAUUUUGGGAAUGUUAGAUCAAAAACAUUUAUACCUUUUAAAAACAGCUGCAGAACUUCUCAGAGCUUUUA
rnacentral:lncRNA from 1 species